rnacentral:rRNA from 1 species
CCUACGGGCGGCUGCAGUGGGGAAUAUUGCGCAAUGGGCGAAAGCUUGACGCAGCGACGCCGCGUGAGGGAUGAAGGUCUUCGGAUCGUAAACCUCUGUCAGCAGGGAAGAACGGUCACUGUGCUAAUCAGCAGUGAAUUGACGGUACCUGCAAAGGAAGCACCGGCUAACUCUGUGCCAGCAGCCGCGGUAAUACGGAGGGUGCGAGCGUUAAUCGGAAUUACUGGGCGUAAAGCCGUCGUAAGCGGUAUGUUAAGUCAAGGAUGAAAUCCCCGCGCUCAACGUGGGGACGGCCUUUGAAACUGGCAAACUAGAGUGUGUGAGAGGAUAGUGGAAUUCCAGGUGUAGGAGUGAAAUCCGUAGAUAUAUGGAGGAACAUCAGAGGCGAAGGCGACUAUCUGGCACAUAACUGACGCUGAGGAGCGAAAGCGUGGGUAGCAAACAGGAUUAGAUACCCGUGUAGUC